rnacentral:rRNA from 1 species
GAUGAACGCUGGCGGCGUGCCUAAUACAUGCAAGUCGAGCGAACAGACGAGGAGCUUGCUCCUCUGACGUUAGCGGCGGACGGGUGAGUAACACGUGGAUAACCUACCUAUAAGACUGGGAUAACUUCGGGAAACCGGAGCUAAUACCGGAUAAUAUAUUGAACCGCAUGGUUCAAUAGUGAAAGACGGUUUUGCUGUCACUUAUAGAUGGAUCCGCGCCGCAUUAGCUAGUUGGUAAGGUAACGGCUUACCAAGGCAACGAUGCGUAGCCGACCUGAGAGGGUGAUCGGCCACACUGGAACUGAGACACGGUCCAGACUCCUACGGGAGGCAGCAGUAGGGAAUCUUCCGCAAUGGGCGAAAGCCUGACGGGGCAACGCCGCGUGAGUGAUGAAGGUCUUCGGAUCGUAAAACGCUGUUAUUAGGGAAGAACAAAUGUGUAAGUAACUAGGCACGUCUUGACGGUACCAAAUCAGAAAGCAACGGCAAACUACGU